rnacentral:rRNA from 1 species
CCCGCUCAGAAACUUAAAGGAAGUUGACGGGGGCCCGCACAAGCGGUGGAGCAUGUGGUUUAAUUCGAUGAUACGCGAGGAACCUUACCUGGGCUCAAAUGUAUGUUGACGUAUUCUGAAAGGGAUACUUCUUCGGACAAUAUACAAGGUGCUGCAUGGUUGUCGUCAGCUCGUGCCGUGAGGUGUCGGGUUAAGUCCCAUAACGAGCGCAACCCCUACCUUUAGUUGCCAUCAGGUUAAGCUGGGGACUCUAAAGGAACUGCCUACGCAAGUAGUGAGGAAGGCGGGGAUGACGUCAAAUCAGCACGGCCCUUACGUCCAGGGCUACACACGUGCUACAAUGGCCGAUACAGAGGGCAGCUACCUGGUGACAGGAUGCAAAUCUCCAAAGUCGGUCUCAGUUCGGAUCGGAGUCUGCAACCCGACUCCGUGAAGUUGGAUUCGCUAGUAAUCGCGCAUCAGCCAUGGCGCGGUGAAUACGUUCCCGGGCCUU